GAUGAACGCUGGCGGCGUGCCUAAUACAUGCAAGUCGAGCGAACGGACGAGAAGCUUGCUUUUCUGAUGUUAGCGGCGGACGGGUGAGUAACACGUGGAUAACCUACCUAUAAGACUGGGAUAACUUCGGGAAACCGGAGCUAAUACCGGAUAAUAUUUUGAACCGCAUGGUUCAAAAGUGAAAGACGGUCUUGCUGUCACUUAUAGAUGGAUCCGCGCUGCAUUAGCUAGUUGGUAAGGUAACGGCUUACCAAGGCAACGAUGCAUAGCCGACCUGAGAGGGUGAUCGGCCACACUGGAACUGAGACACGGUCCAGACUCCUACGGGAGGCAGCAGUAGGGAAUCUUCCGCAAUGGGCGAAAGCCUGACGGAGCAACGCCGCGUGAGUGAUGAAGGUCUUCGGAUCGUAAAACUCUGUUAUUAGGGAAGAACAUAUGUGUAAGUAACUGUGCACAUCUUGACGGUACCUAAUCAGAAAGCCACGGCUAACUACGUGCCAGCAGCCGCGGUAAUACGUAGGUGGCAAGCGUUAUCCGGAAUUAUUGGGCGUAAAGCGCGCGUAGGCGGUUUUUUAAGUCUGAUGUGAAAGCCCACGGCUCAACCGUGGAGGGUCAUUGGAAACUGGAAAACUUGAGUGCAGAAGAGGAAAGUGGAAUUCCAUGUGUAGCGGUGAAAUGCGCAGAGAUGUGGAGGAACACCAGUGGCGAAGGCGACUUUCUGGUCUGUAACUGACGCUGAUGUGCGAAAGCGUGGGGAUCAAACAGGAUUAGAUACCCUGGUAGUCCACGCCGUAAACGAUGAGUGCUAAGUGUUAGGGGGUUUCCGCCCCUUAGUGCUGCAGCUAACGCAUUAAGCACUCCGCCUGGGGAGUACGACCGCAAGGUUGAAACUCAAAGGAAUUGACGGGGGCCCGCACAAGCGGUGGAGCAUGUGGUUUAAUUCGAAGCAACGCGAAGAACCUUACCAAAUCUUGACAUCCUUUGACAACUCUAGAGAUAGAGCCUUCCCCUUCGGGGGACAAAGUGACAGGUGGUGCAUGGUUGUCGUCAGCUCGUGUCGUGAGAUGUUGGGUUAAGUCCCGCAACGAGCGCAACCCUUAAGCUUAGUUGCCAUCAUUAAGUUGGGCACUCUAAGUUGACUGCCGGUGACGAACCGGAGGAAGGUGGGGAUGACGUCAAAUCAUCAUGCCCCUUAUGAUUUGGGCUACACACGUGCUACAAUGGACAAUACAAAGGGCAGCGAAACCGCGAGGUCAAGCAAAUCCCAUAAAGUUGUUCUCAGUUCGGAUUGUAGUCUGCAACUCGACUACAUGAAGCUGGAAUCGCUAGUAAUCGUAGAUCAGCAUGCUACGGUGAAUACGUUCCCGGGUCU
rnacentral:rRNA from 1 species